GUACGGGGGGUGCGAGCGUUGUCCGGAAUCACUGGGCGAAAGGGCGCGUAGGUGGUCUGAUAAGGGUGUGGUGGAAAGCCCGGGGCUCAACCCGGGAACUGCGUCCGAUACUGGCAGGCUUGAAUCCGGGAGAGGGAUGCGGAAUUCCAGGUGUAGCGGUGAAAUGCGUAGAUAUCUGGAGGAACACCGGUGGCGAAGGCGGCAUCCUGGACCGGUAUUGACGCUGAGGCGCGAAAGCCAGGGGAGCAAACGGG
rnacentral:rRNA from 1 species